rnacentral:misc_RNA from 1 species
CAUAAUUCAAGCUUCUGCUUGGUGUUGAGUAGUAUCGUCAGAUCCUAUUCCAAACUCUUUGGCAUUGUCUAGCCAGAACCACAGCGUGACAGUAUCUCGCUAUAGUUUUGCUAUUACAAUAGCCCAAUUACUGAAACU